GAUGAACGCUGGCGGCGUGCCUAAUACAUGCAAGUAGAACGCUGAAGCUUGGUGCUUGCACCUCUCGUGUUAGUUGCGGACGGGUGAGUAACGCGUAGAUAACCUACCUCUUAGCGGGGGAUAACUAUUGGAAACGAUAGCUAAUACCGCAUAAUAUUCGGUAUCGCAUGAUAUUGAUUUGAAAGAUGCACAUGCUUCACUAUAUGAUUGACCUGCGUUUUCUUAGCUAGUUGGUUAGGUAACGGCCCUACAAAGCGACGGAACAUAGGCCAACCGAGAGGGGGAUCGGCCACAAUGGGAACGAGACACGGCCCAGACUUCCUAGGGAAGCAGCAGGAGGGAAACCUCGGGAAAGGGGGGAAAGCUGAACGAAGAAAGCCGGCGGAGGGAAGAAGGGUUUCGGAUCGGAAAGCUCUGGUGUAAGAGAAGAAAGAGAGGGAGAGUGGAAAGUGCACACUGUGACGGUAACUAACCAGAAAGGGACGGCUAACUACGUG
rnacentral:rRNA from 1 species